GACAGAGGGUGCAAACGUUGCUCGGAAUUACUGGGCGUAAAGCGCGUGUAGGCGGGUCGGUAUGUCGGACGUGAAAUCCCUAGGCUCAACCUAGGAACUGCGCUCGAAACUGCCGGUCUUGAGUGGUGGAGAGGGAAGUGGAAUUCCUGGUGUAGAGGUGAAAUUCGUAGAUAUCAGGAGGAACACCAGUGGCGAAGGCGGCUCACUGGCCCGGUACUGACGCUGAGGUGCGAAAGCGUGGGGAGCAAACAGG
rnacentral:rRNA from 1 species